rnacentral:rRNA from 1 species
UACGAAGGGGGCUAGCGUUGUUCGGAUUUACUGGGCGUAAAGCGCACGUAGGCGGAUCGAUCAGUCAGGGGUGAAAUCCCAGAGCUCAACUCUGGAACUGCCUUGAUACUGUCGAUCUGGAGUAUGGAAGAGGUGAGUGGAAUUCCGAGUGUAGAGGUGAAAUUCGUAGAUAUUCGGAGGAACACCAGUGGCGAAGGCGGCUCACUGGUCCAUUACUGACGCUGAGGUGCGAAAGCGUGGGGAGCAAACAGG